AGGUGCUGCAUGGCUGUCGUCAGCUCGUGUUGUGAAAUGUUGGGUUAAGUCCCGCAACGAGCGCAACCCUUAUCCUUUGUUGCCAGCGGUCCGGCCGGGAACUCAAAGGAGACUGCCAGUGAUAAACUGGAGGAAGGUGGGGAUGACGUCAAGUCAUCAUGGCCCUUACGACCAGGGCUACACACGUGCUACAAUGGCGCAUACAAAGAGAAGCGACCUCGCGAGAGCAAGCGGACCUCAUAAAGUGCGUCGUAGUCCGGAUUGGAGUCUGCAACUCGACUCCAUGAAGUCGGAAUCGCUAGUAAUCGUGGAUCAGAAUGCCACGGUGAAUACGUUCCCGGGCCUUGUACACACCGCCCGUCACACCAUGGGAGUGGGUUGCAAAAGAAGUAGGUAGCUUAACCUUCGGGAGGGCGCUUACCACUUUGUGAUUCAUGACUGGGGUGAAGUCGUAACAAGGUAACCGUAGGGGAACCUGC
rnacentral:rRNA from 1 species